UAGGCCGCAUCAAGCGCCGGUGCCCGCGAAAGCGGGUGAAACGGGAACGCGGUGGGGGACGCUCGAUCCCAAUUCCGCGGCUGCCCCCGCAACUGUAAGCGGCGAGCCGAAAUCGAAGCCACUGAACGCAUGCGUUCGGGAAGGCGAUGGCGGCGACGACCCGCGAGCCAGGAGACCGGCCGGCGCUGUAACGCGAAC
rnacentral:ncRNA from 2 species